AUUCAGCUGACGAGUACCAAUUAAGACGAAACGCAUGUCCUGGAU
rnacentral:hammerhead_ribozyme from 1 species